AGAGCGAGUCAGAGAGACGGGCAAGGGACCUUUUUAUUUGCUUCAACAUUUAUUUUAAUCCCUUAUUCACCUGGGAGGCGCUGAGCAGGCUCAGGAGGGCGGCAGACGCCCCUGCACUUUGCCUGGCCCACUCGAGUGUAUGUUUGUGCUGCUGCAUUUUAAAGGUGUUUAAAAUGUAAAAAGAUUGCUAAAGACAGGACAGAGUCUCAUAACAUUUUUCUUGUCUUAUUCCUGGGACUCUCAGAAUUGCUCUCCCGUCUCUGCAACCCAUUUUCAUUGUUUUCCUCUGUGCAAAUGCAAUGCCUUGUACUGUCACUACUCUGUGCAAUGCAACUCAAAGUCCUGCUACUUCGAAACAAAUGAUGUAAGAAACACCUUGAGCAGGUGUGAGACGGGGCAGUUCCAGCUGCCAGAGGAGAUUUCCCCUGAACUGGAAGAACAAGUCAAUGCUUUCUCCCAGAAAACAAUUGCUCUGUCGGAGACUGAGGGAAUUCAAAGGUACCUAGAAGGGAUGGAUGAGGGGAAAGUUGUUUAACUAUUAGAAACUAUUGAAUCUGGCCUCUGAAGCCAACCUUCCCCUACCUCAAUUCCCACGUGGAGAAUGACGGCCCCAUCAUGCUGCUCUCCUUAGAGGCACUGAGCAAACAGAGUCAAGUGCUUGCAGAUAGAGCCAGGGGUUUGCAAACUCUGAGCCUCCUGUUAGUGUCAAGGGAUCCAAAUAGCUAAAGUGAAUGUCAUGGCAAUAUCUUCUCCCAGCACACCUCUAGGUUAUGCCAAGAGGUGGUAAGUGACUGAGAGAAACCAGGUGGGAGGGGAUGAGGAGGGAAAAGUAAAUCUCACUUUCAGUUUGUGUCUCCUGGUGCGGGGAUGAGGCUGCAGAGAUGUUGGCUCCAUUGCUGGGAGGUGCCCAAGUGAGAGAGGACACAGAAGGUUUCAGACCUUUUCAUGCUAAACACUUGUCUGGUCUCUGAUACAAUUGAAACGCAGAGUUCAGCACAGGGACAUGAUUACACAUAGGAGAGCCUGGAAUCUCACCUCUCUUAUCCCUUUCUCCACCACACACUCUCCCCUCUGCACUGGAGAGAGCAAGAGGAAAAUCCCUGGGAGCUUUCAGACAGGGUGAGUUUGCUGGUGGAAAUUCUUUAAAUGAUGAGAAAAUUCCUGUGAUAACAUCUUCAUGGGAUUGUCAUUGAAGUUACCAGCCAGAAGUUACCGGCGAGCACAGCCCUAAACCUCACCCACUGAUCAGUGAGGAGCCCCUUGGGCACUGCAUGGGGACCUGCAGACUCUUUGAGAAACACUGAUCUAUGAGGUGUGAUGCUAAAUGGGUGAAGUUAAAGGACACAACAGACGGCACCUUCAGGCUCAGAUUUCACUGCUCAGUCAGUUUCAAUAUGGGGUUGGUUUCAAACAAUAUAGAGGCUGAAAAGCUGGGAGCUGUCUGGCUUCCACGGUAUCAGUUUGUUCAUGGUGAGAAAUUGCUGGAUCCCCACGGGCUCUUCGGUCUAGUGCAGGCCUGGGCAAAAUACAGCCCAUGGGCCAGAUCUAGCUCGCCAGGCCAUCGGAUCUGGCUCACUGAUGCUUGGCGAGCAAUGGGCUAGUUCCGUACUUGCCACUUCCCACCUCCAAGCCACUAAAAGUGAAGGUGAGCCCGGAGGUGAAGCGGGAAGGCUAUAGGCACUGCUUCCAUCCCUAGGACAAUCUCAUUGGCUGGUUUCUGGCCAGAAAGGAAGCACCGUGCCCUCUCCCCUCCGGUUCAUAGUUAUUCACACACCCACAUAGCCCCUGCAGCCUUUGCGAGGGUUGGGCAGGCUCCCUGCCUGCCUCAGAGAGGUGCUUGGCUGCUGGUCGGGAGUCACUCAGGUAAGUCUCCUGGCCAAAGCCUGCCUCUGGCACCCUUACCUCUCCCUUCCCCUCCUAAUUCUCUGCCCCCUCCCACUCCUGCCCCCCACUUCACAUACCCAAACUCUUAGUUCUCUUCCUGUAUUCAAGUAUGCAGGAAGCUCUUCAUGGCCAGAAACCCUCAGCCCCUUAUUUGCCCACUCAACCACUUCUCUAAAUUAACUUUUUUUUAAAUAUCUCAUGAGUAGUUGGCUAAUUCAGUGCCCAGAUCACACCUGCCUCCUUCACCCAAAGUCCUUCCCAGACCCCUUUCCCUCCUGCAUCCCAAAGCCUCACCCAAAACUCCCUUGUUCUCCCAGUGUCCAUCCUAUAUCCUGAAUCUCCUGCUUAAUGUCUUGGAAGAGUGCAGCCCUCAACCACUUUCCAAAAUCUUGGGGUUCCCUCCUCUGCUCCCCCGCCAUCAAAAUGAAUUGCCCACUCCUGGUCUAGUGGAUAUAGUUCAGUGAGAGUCAAUAACAGAAAGCUGCAGCCGGAGAAUUUCAGGCUAGAGAGGAGGCACAAAUAUUUGAUGGGUAAGAAGAUUAGCUGCUGAAACAAAUGAGCAAAGAAGUGGUGGGUUCUCCCAUCUCUUGAUGUUGUUGGGAUUUUGUGGUUCCCAGAGAGUCAGGUGCUGGGCAGAAUCAAGGGUCUUCGAUACUUUCAAUUCAAUUCCAUUCAACAAGACCUUAUUCAGUGUGCACAAAGGGAGAGCUCC